ensembl:snoRNA SNORD89 small nucleolar RNA, C/D box 89
GCCGAGGAAUGAUGACAAUAAAAGGCCGAAUUGCAGUGUCUCCCCAGCAGUUGGCUCUCUGGGUGCACGAUGACAAAACCCCCCGAAGCGAACCCCAUUCUGACCUCGGC